GGGUUCGGGGCUGGAAUGGCGAGCGGCGCUUGGGUGCCAGGAGGCCACGUGGGGAAGCGAAGGCGGCCUCCUCUCUCCCUCGACUUCCCUUUUUUCAUCCCCCUCCUCGCACGCUUUUGCCCGGGCAGGGCAUGCAACAAUCUUCAGCCUGGCGCUGGCGGCCGUUGGCCUGUUGGGGCCAUUCUCCCAGAAGCUGUCCAAGCUCCAAAACACAACUCCUCGCCUCUAUGUGCUGUGUGCAUAAUCCUGCAGUUAGGGCUUUACGCCUCCCAUUUUAAGGAAGUACUGGGGACCCACUUUCAUUAGCUAAUAUAUUGCUGCUAAUAUAUAGCUCCUGUUGCACAGCAGGCUACUUUGAAUAUCCUGACUGAAAGACCCACCCCAAUAACCUCAUAAGAAACAAAAUACAAGAAUCAGGCAAAAUACAUUCUUCUUGGAUCAUGACCUGAAGGUUUGAGACUCAGACUCUGGCUGACUUCCAGCAGGAGAGUCAACUUUUAACUCCACACCACAACAGGGAGCAGCUAAACAGGAAAAAAAAUGGAUAAAGUUUACCUUUCAGAAAUAUGCCAAGUAACACACUGCAGCACGCUAAGACUACAAGGACAGGAGGCUGAGUGAAGCUAAACUGCCCAGAAGCAACUGUCCAUUUUCAUUCUUGCACCACAGUGCAAUGAUUAACUUUGUGCAUGUAAGAAGAAGAACAUACAGAUGUAAUUGCCUGAAACUUUGUGAAGAAGCUGAACUAAGGCUGAAGUUUAGAACUAAAUUGUGCUGAUUUUUCUUCAUUAACAUUCUACUAAUGGAAAUUAGUUUUCUGUCUUCAUUACCACAAUGUACACUGCACUCUUUUGAAAAUGUAAUUUAAGCAAAGAGUUGUAUAUUGUGUAUUUUAAUAGAUUGCUCAUUCACUGAGUAAACUUAAAUUUUUUUUUCUGUAAUCUAACAAAAGUAAUAGUGUGUGUAUCCUAACAGGAACUAUAAAACUAAUUUCUUGGAGACUG